AGAGUUUGAUCCUGGCUCAGAGCGAACGCUGGCGGCACGCCUAACACAUGCAAGUCGAGCGAGAAAGUGACUUCGGUCGCGAGUAAAGCGGCGAACGGGUGAGUACAACGUGGAUAAUCUACCCUAAGGUCUGGGACAACCCCGAGAAAUCGGGGCUAAUACCGGAUAAGACCACAGUAUCCAAGGAUACAGCGGUAAAAGAUUUAUCGCCUUUGGAUGAGUCCACGCCCCAUCAGGUAGUUGGUAAGGUAAAGGCUUACCAAGCCUAAGACGGGUAGCCGGCCUUAGCGGGUGAACGGCCACAUGGGGACUGAGACACGGCCCUGACUCCUACGGGAGGCAGCAGUGGGGAAUAUUGGGCAAUGGGCGAAAGCCUGACCCAGCGAUGCCGCGUGAGGGAUGAAGGCCUUCGGGUUGUAAACCUCUGUCAGGAGGGACGAUGGGACUUUGUCUUGACGGUACCUCCAGAGGAAGCCCCGGCUAACUCCGUGCCAGCAGCCGCGGUAAUACGGAGGGGGCAAGCGUUGCUCGGAAUUACUGGGCGUAAAGGGUCCG
rnacentral:rRNA from 1 species